UGGGGAAUAUUGCACAAUGGGCGCAAGCCUGAUGCAGCCAUGCCGCGUGUGUGAAGAAGGCCUUCGGGUUGUAAAGCACUUUCAGCGGGGAGGAAGGCGGUGAGGUUAAUAACCUCACCGAUUGACGUUACCCGCAGAAGAAGCACCGGCUAACUCCGUGCCAGCAGCCGCGGUAAUACGGAGGGUGCAAGCGUUAAUCGGAAUUACUGGGCGUAAAGCGCACGCAGGCGGUCUGUCAAGUCGGAUGUGAAAUCCCCGGGCUCAACCUUGCAACUGCAUUCGAAACUUGCAGGCUAGAGUUUUUGAGAGGGGGGUAGAAUUCCAGGUGUAGCCGUUAAAUGCGUCGAGAUCUGGAGGGAUACCGGUGGCGAAGGCGGCCCCCUGGACAAAGACUGACGCUCAGGUGCGAAAGCGUGGGGAGCAAACAGG
rnacentral:rRNA from 1 species